rnacentral:rRNA from 1 species
GACGAACGCUGGUGGCGUGCCUAAUACAUGCAAGUCGAGCGAGCUUGCCUAGAUGAAUUUGGUGCUUGCACCAGAUGAAACUAGAUACAAGCGAGCGGCGGACGGGUGAGUAACACGUGGGUAACCUGCCCAAGAGACUGGGAUAACACCUGGAAACAGAUGCUAAUACCGGAUAACAACACUAGACGCAUGUCUAGAGUUUAAAAGAUGGUUCUGCUAUCACUCUUGGAUGGACCUGCGGUGCAUUAGCUAGUUGGUAAGGUAACGGCUUACCAAGGCAAUGAUGCAUAGCCGAGUUGAGAGACUGAUCGGCCACAUUGGGACUGAGACACGGCCCAAACUCCUACGGGAGGCAGCAGUAGGGAAUCUUCCACAAUGGACGCAAGUCUGAUGGAGCAACGCCGCGUGAGUGAAGAAGGGUUUCGGCUCGUAAAGCUCUGUUGGUAGUGAAGAAAGAUAGAGGUAGUAACUGGCCUUUAUUUGACGGUAAUUACUUAGAAAGUCACGGCUAACUACGUGCCAGCAGCCGCGGUAAUACGUAGGUGGCAAGCGUUGUCCGGAUUUAUUGGGCGUAAAGCGAGUGCAGGCGGUUCAAUAAGUCUGAUGUGAAAGCCUUCGGCUCAACCGGAGAAUUGCAUCAGAAACUGUUGAACUUGAGUGCAGAAGAGGAGAGUGGAACUCCAUGUGUAGCGGUGGAAUGCGUAGAUAUAUGGAAGAACACCAGUGGCGAAGGCGGCUCUCUGGUCUGCAACUGACGCUGAGGCUCGAAAGCAUGGGUAGCGAACAGG